GGCAGGAUGAAGCAAGCGGGGUCCCCCCUCUGUGUGAGUGUCAGCUCUGUGCAGCUGUGGGAGAUUCAAUAUGUUAAGAGUCAAAUCAUGUGUUACUGGUAAAUGAUUAAGAGGCAAGUUGGCAUUAGCCUGUCAGCCCUGCACAGCUCUGGGAGAUUCAAUAUUUAAGAGUCAAAUCGACAUUGUCCAGGGAGCUUUGUUUGGGGAGCUUGGUGAAGUUGGAGAGCUCUGCUUGGGAGAACUCUGCUCGGUGAGCCAGGCAGGAGCUCUGUCCUGCGCUGGCUUGGAGCAGUGCCAGCUCUGCUCUGGCCCGGAGGAGAAGCGGGCCUUGGAAGAAAGAUAAGUCACCUUGGAGAAAGUAUGGAACUGUUUUGGGGAGAGGGGGUUGAUGACUGUCUAGUUGCUGAUUUGCUUAUCAUGAAGUAAGAGCUAAGGUAGCAAGAGCGUAAAUAUGUACUGUUAAAAUAAUAAAGGAUUUUCCUUCUGUACUUCA